AUACGUAGGGGGCGAGCGUUGUCCGGAAUGAUUGGGCGUAAAGGGCGCGUAGGCGGCCCGGUAAGUCUGGAGUGAAAGUCCUGUUUUUAAGCUGGGAAUUGCUUUGGAUACUGUCGGGCUUGAGUGCAGGAGAGGUAAGUGGAAUUCCCAGUGUAGCGGUGAAAUGCGUAGGGAUUGGGAGGAACACCAGUGGCGAAGGCGACUUACUGGACUGUAACUGACGCUGAGGCGCGAAAGUGUGGGGAGCAAACAGGAUUAGAUACCCUGGUAGUCCACACUGUAAACGAUGAAUGCUAGGUGUAGGGGGUAUCGACCCCUUCUGUGCCGCAGUCAACACAAUAAGCAUUCCGCCUGGGGAGUACGGCCGCAAGGUUGAAACUCAAAUGAAUUGACGGGG
rnacentral:rRNA from 1 species